UACGUAGGGUCCGAGCGUUGUCCGGAAUUAUUGGGCGUAAAGGGCUCGUAGGCGGUCUGUUGCGUCGGGAGUGAAAACUUACAGCUUAACUGUGAGCGUGCUUUCGAUACGGGCAUGACUGGAGUUCGGCAGGGGAGACUGGAAUUCCUGGUGUAGCGGUGAAAUGCGCAGAUAUCAGGAGGAACACCGGUGGCGAAGGCGGGUCUCUGGGCCGAUGACUGACGCUGAGGAGCGAAAGCGUGGGGAGCGAACAGG
rnacentral:rRNA from 1 species